rnacentral:rRNA from 1 species
CUCCUACGGGAGGCAGCAGUCGGGAAUCUUGCACAAUGGGCGAAAGCCUGAUGCAGCAACGCCGCGUGAGGGAUGAAGGCCCUCGGGUCGUAAACCUCUGUCGGAAGGGAAGAAAGUAUUCCGGGCCAAUACCCCGGAGUAUCGACGGUACCUUCAAAGGAAGCGCCGGCUAACUCCGUGCCAGCAGCCGCGGUAAUACGGAGGGCGCGAGCGUUAUUCGGAAUCAUUGGGCGUAAAGCGCGUGUAGGCGGCUGGGUAAGUCGGAUGUGAAAGCCCGGGGCUCAACCCCGGAAUUGCAUUCGAAACUGCCCAGCUAGAGUCUCGGAGAGGAGGGCGGAAUUCCCGGUGUAGAGGUGAAAUUCGUAGAUAUCGGGAGGAACACCAGUGGCGAAGGCGGCCCUCUGGACGAUGACUGACGCUGAGACGCGAAAGCGUGGGGAGCAAACAGGAUUAGAUACCCUGGUAGUCCACGCCGUAAACGUUGGGUGCUAGGUGUCGCGGGUAUUGACCCCUGCGGUGCCGUCGUUAACGCAUUUAGCACCCCGCCUGGGGAGUACGGCCGCAAGGCUAAAACUCAAAGGAAUUGACGG